rnacentral:rRNA from 1 species
GUUGCAGUUAAAAGCUCGUAGUUGAACCUUGGGCCUGGCUGGCCGGUCCGCCUCACCGCGUGCACUGGUUCGGCCGGGCCUUUCCCUCUGGGGAACCUCAUGCCCUUCACUGGGUGUGCUGGGGAACCAGGACUUUUACUGUGAAAAAAUUAGAGUGUUCAAAGCAGGCCUAUGCUCGAAUACAUUAGCAUGGAAUAAUAGAAUAGGACGUGUGGUUCUAUUUUGUUGGUUUCUAGGACCGCCGUAAUGAUUAAUAGGGACAGUCGGGGGCAUCAGUAUUCAAUUGUCAGAGGUGAAAUUCUUGGAUUUAUUGAAGACUAACUACUGCGAAAGCAUUUGCCAAGGAUGUUUUCAUUAAUCAGGAACGAAAGUUAGGGGAUCGAAGACGAUCAGAUACCGUCGUAGUCUUAACCAUAAACUAUGCCGACUAGGGAUCGGACGAUGUUAUUUUUUGACUCGUUCGGCACCUUACGAGAAAUCAAAGUGUUUGGGUUCUGGGGGGAGUAUGGUCGCAAGGCUGAAACUUAAAGAAAUUGACGGAAGGGCACCACCAGGAGUGGAGCCUGCGGCUUAAUUUGACUCAACACGGGGAAACUCACCAGGUCCAGACACAAUGAGGAUUGACAGAUUGAGAGCUCUUUCUUGAUUUUGUGGGUGGUGGUGCAUGGCCGUUCUUAGUUGGUGGAGUGAUUUGUCUGCUUAAUUGCGAUAACGAACGAGACCUUAACCUGCUAAAUAGCCCGUAUUGCUUUGGCAGUACGCUGGCUUCUUAGAGGGACUAUCCGCUCAAGCGGAUGGAAGUUUGAGCAUAACAGUCUGUGAUGCCCUUAGAUGUCUGGGCCGCACGCGCGUUACACUGA